rnacentral:rRNA from 1 species
CAAUAGCGUAUAUUAAAGUUGUUGCAGUUAAAAAGCUCGUAGUUGAAUUUUUGCUUGCCGCCGAUGUCGGAACUUCCGUACGUUCGGCGGCGUGCAUCCUUGGGUGGAACCUGUGUGGCAUUAGGUUGUCGUGCAGGGGAUGCUCAUCGUUUACUGUGAAAAAAUUAGAGUGUUCAAAGCAGGCUUACGCCGUUGAAUAUAUUAGCAUGGAAUAAUAAGAUAGGACCUUGGUACUAUUUUGUUGGUUUGCGCACCGAGGUAAUGAUUAACAGGGACAGUUGGGGGGUAUUCGUAUUCCAUUGUCAGAGGUGAAAUUCUUGGAUUUCUGGAAGACGAACUACUGCGAAAGCAUUUACCAAGGAUGUUUUCAUUAA